CGCAGUGCAUCACUUCCAUCAUUUUACCGCCCUUCCGCGGAACUUUUUCGAGUCUUCGGGCUCUUUAGAAGCGGGCUGGCGUCCAGGAUUACCUACUUUGGCUCCAAAAAUACGCAAUAAAUCACCACGUAAUCUACUUAGCUGGUGCUUCCAGAAUAUUAAAUAAAAAACACAAGGUUUAGUGAGACAUUAUUACAUUAUCUAUACUUAUUAAGAUAAUAAACUUGGAAUAUUACACUAUUUUAUAUUUUUUUGAGUACAGACCCCCCCUGUUCAGAUUUUCCACGUGACUAAUUCAACCUUCGUAAAAUGAUGAUUCACUUUUUGCACACGUGCCGAUAUUUUUGUCCUCCUACACGCUCCCGAUUUAUCGUGCUAAUGGAAAUUCAGGUUUGCUUGCGUUAUUCAAGUCUAAAAAAACGUCACGAAUACCUUUCCAACCACGCACAUUAGAUGUGUGCGUGACUGCAAAGGCACUGUACAACUCUGUAAUGUGUGUGAAGAGUGAUGCAAGAGUGUGUUCCUCGGCUUUUAUUCCGUUCCAUCUCAUAUCAACGGAGCAGAUUUCGUCGUUUCCCCAGACGGAAGAACGUAAGCCCAUUUCAAAGUUGCAAAAUUUAAUCAAGCUAUGCAUUUUUUCACAAGCAUAUGAACGUGUAAUUUUUGUCCAAAAUUAUUCUGAUUUUUGAGAAUAUUCAGAAGUAAAGCCACUGAAAUUUUCAACUAAAAGCGUCCAAUAGACUCAUAUUAGCAGAGACUUUACAAAAUGAAAUUUUACAACGUUGGAAUGCGUUUACAUUCCAGUGCGAGACAUCAUCUAUCUAAUGUACUCAUGAACGGAACUGGAUCACCAGUGAUUAAAAAUGACGUGGAAAAAGAGCUAUUUUUGAACUUUAGUCACGUUAUUUAAGCAGCUCCAUGAAACUAGGAUGUCGGCAUUGCAUGUGGUUUAGUUAUGUCAGGUGUGAGCAUGAAGUUUCAAGCCUCAUUGGCAGCUUGUAUCUCUGUUCUUGUGAUUCAGGUUGUGAGUGAGUCCACUUCACUCUCUCCAUUGAUCGAUGAGGCUCCUUCCGUUUCACGAAGCGACCCCUCAAAACUGGGAUGGGACGUGCAAGCAGCCGACAGAGUAGAUGAAGAAAAUUCCGGGCGUCUGAAAACGAGAGCCUACGACAAGCACAGCUUGCCGAACGUGGCGCGGCGAACGGCCAAGCGAAAUGCUCGCUCCGUGCGCCGAGGGAUGAGCUCCGGACUGGACUUGUUGCACAGCGGAAUUGAACGCACCGCGGAGUACAACGAGGCGCUCAGGCAGUACGGGCUGAAAGGUGUGGAGGCGGUGCCCAAGACUGUGGCACCUGUGGUAUCCCCGCUCCUUGAAGGCGUCAUUCAUGCGGGCAACGCUGUCCUCGACGGCACGCUAGCCUUGGCGUCGGGGGUCACAAAAAGCGCUAAGGGGCUCAACGACGGACUCAUGGGUGGAGCUGAGUCACUCUUAAAGAAGAAGGGACCGCUCUCUUACCUCUGGGGCUCCUAGUAAAUGUGCGUUGUCCUCUUGGUUGGAGAAGGAGGCUACCUACAAUUUUCCGAGCCCCCGUCGACCUCCUUUGGAAAUUCGAAAAAGAAAGAGCAUCCUGAAAUUCUAAUGAUCAGUUUUUUCUUCAUUAUUACCAUAACGAUGGCCAAAUUGCGAAACCGCGUAUCUCCCUUUCCGACGAUGCAGACUUCCUAUCAUACUUUAUUUUUUGUUUGGAAAACUAAUCAACUACAUUUCUUAAUAUCUUCUUUGGUUUCUCUUCUCUAUCAGGAGAGUAUUCUGUGUAAAUUUCAAUCUAUAUAUUUGGCUUGUUUUUCUUCAAAAUAAUGAAAUAGAAGCAGAGAUUUUAAAAUACCGGAAUGGAGAUACGUGAUUUCGCACUCCAGCCAUCGAUAAGCUCUCAUGACCCUCUAAAUUCCCUUUUCACCAUUCGUUCUACCGUUCUCCUGAGCCAAUUUUAAUUAUUUUUCCAGCUAUUGACAGGUAAUAGUCCCAAAUAAGUUCGCUUAGUGCAAAUUUUGGAAAUAUGACGCAGGGUUUUUUUUUUUAAAUUGCGUCAUAAAGUUGUGAAUGUUUUAUUUAAACAAUGGAAGUGUUCCAUUUUUGUCACAGUUCGUUCCAAAGAUCUAGUACGCCGAUUUUCUUGAUUUUUGCGGUUACAUCGAUAAGAAAUAGUCCCUAGAUGAAGUGCCGAAGUGAAGCGAAGUGCUUUAGUGAGAUGCUGUGAAGGUGAGGAUCCUCAUCCUACACAUCAAAACAAGAAGAACGAAUAAUACCUCCGUCCACGGCAAAAAUCAUCGUCCCUCUAACGUAAAGGCGUAUCUUGAUUCCUGCAUGAGCUCCAGAAAGCAUGGCUUUACAUGUGAAUAAGGGCUUACAUGGAAAUCGAGAUACGCCCUUACCAGUGGCGUGGCGUGCUUUGCGAUAUAUCGAUUUUUAUUCCAUUUAAACCUAUGGAAACGGAUCGAUAAACAGGGUGUACGCAGCGAACACCUCAAUAAUCGAUUCUUUGCCAUAGGUAUAUAAAUGACAGAACAAUCGAUACAUCGCAAUUCACGCCACGCCACUGGCCCUUACGUCAGAGGAGCGACGAAAUGUCGUAUCUUCAUUCCAGAUUUGACACAUUUUUCUCAGAAAAACAGUUCCACUACAAGGAAAGGCGCAAACAUCCAUCUUUCGUACUUUCAGAAUGCCUGUGUCACAGUGUCACAUCAAUCGGAAGUUGAAAUGAAAAUAUCCAGCAUGGGGGUGGCUGGGUCUUUUUGAGACGAAGCGUUUCGUCUAGAAAACAUUUUCAAACUCUGCACAGGAGUUACUGCGUUCUUACUGUGGAUGGCAGUACAGAACUUAGUUUUUUCACAAAGCUGCGCACGAAGCCCUCGUUUUGUACGACUGAGACUACUAUAAUUCGGCCCGCAGACAAUUUAAAGCAUCGCCGUUUGACACCCGACGGCGGGGUGACUCGCGAUGAAUCGCUCUCUCCAUCAAUUAAUAAACAGAAAAUGAUCUUGAUAUCAGAUGAAGAUAAAUAGGGUCGCAACUUUGGACUCGGGAGUGGGCGUCGCGGGGUUUCUGGGGAGGGGGAGGGGCCGGGGUGUUUUUUUGCCGCGUCUUGGUCUUGGUGCAAGAGCCAAGAAAACUCCAAGUUCUCACUCUCAUUAGGACGCGAGAUUUAUUCACUGCUCAAUUGUGCGUGAUUUAUGCCGUGGAUGCGCCGCGCGAGUAUGACCGAAGACCCUGCUAGGUUGCCGACUUUGUAACGAAUUGCAGGAUCAGUGGAUGUAUCGGACGCAUAUCGCGAAAAGGAACCAGUUAGUAAGCUGCCUCAUGGACCACAACGCAAUCAGUAGAAAAUUCAAGCAUGGAUACCGAAAAAUAUGUUUCAAAAAUACAUCAGUGGAUGACGGUCCGUAACGAGGAUUACGAGUCGAAUAAAUUAAAACCAAAACUGAAGAAAAUAAAUAAAAAAGAGACAGGAUAAAUUAAGCGAUCGGUGGGAUUUUAAUUAAUUUUUAUCAAAGGAAUUCCCAUUCACAAAAUUUAAAUUUCUGCGAGGCAAAAAUGAUUAACAAUUAAGAAAUAAACAAUAUUCAAUUUUUUAACUUUUUUUACGGCUACUUUCUCGUCUUCGACCUUUCCUUUACAGUCGGGAGGGAUAUCAUGGGACAACAGUUCUUCGGUGUAGCAAACGAAGAGAUUAUUCAUUCUGGUUUUAAUCGUAACGGUGUCAUUUUUUAAGAAUGCAACUAUUACCACAAGUGAGAAAGUUUCUGCCUAUACAAUACAAUGAGGGCGAACCGCUCCUCAUGACUUUACCAGUACCAUUUAGAUCACGACACUAAAUAAGUGAAAAGUGUUUUUUUGUAGAUUCUCUGCAUGUUCAAUAUGUUUUGCGCUUUCCUAGAGGCUUGUGCCAUACUUGUGCUAAUGUCAAUUGCC
rnacentral:lncRNA from 1 species